CGAGGGGCAGCGGGAAGGUUAGCUUGCUAAUCUUUGCCGGCGACCGGCGCACGGGUGAGUAACACGUAUGCAACCUGUCCGGUACAGGGGGAUAAGCGGCGGAAACGCCGUCUAAUACCGCGUGACAACCCGAGGGGGCAUCCCCUUGGGUUCAAAGGAGAGAUCCGGUACCGGCUGGGCAUGCGGCGCAUUAGCUAGUUGGCGGGGCAACGGCCCACCAAGGCGACGAUGCGUAGGGGUUCUGAGAGGAAGGUCCCCCACACUGGAACUGAGACACGGUCCAGACUCCUACGGGAGGCAGCAGUGAGGAAUAUUGGUCAAUGGGCGCAAGCCUGAACCAGCCAAGUCGCGUGAGGGAAGACGGCCCUACGGGUUGUAAACCUCUUUUGCCGGGGAGCAAGCCUGAGCACGUGUGCCCAGGCGGAGAGUACCCGGAGAAAAAGCAUCGGCUAACUCCGUGCCACCAGCCGCGGUAAUACGGAGGAUGCCAGCGUUAUCCCGGAUUUAU
rnacentral:rRNA from 1 species